AGCACUGUGGUAUCUACAGCCAGUUUGGUUCAUCAGCUGGUUUGUUCAAAAGCCAGUGCUAGAUAAAGUCAACAUCUGGCAUUGUUGGUCUCCAUGCUGCCUGUGUUUGGAGUCCUGGUAUAUGUGUUGAAACAAGG